UCCAUGGCACUCAAUUAUGUGACAUGAGCCUGUUUUGUGUCAAGCACGGCUAUCCCAAUGGUGUAGCUGUCGUUGUACAGAGUUGUACUUCCUUGCUGGAAACCUUUCCAAUUCAGUGGUGUCAGCUAUGAACUGGAGAGAGGUGUUUAGACUCCCUAAGAUGGUAUAUGUCGUUGAGGAGACGUGAUCUCCGAGCAGCCCUUCUCAUAGCUCGCAGUACAGGUCGAUGCCAAAUUCAACUUCCAGGAGGCUUUUUGUGCUGUGGCUGCAGCGUUAAGCAUUUGAAUGGAGCACAUAUAGGC